GAUGGGUGGCUGAGCGGUCGAAAGCACCGGUCUUGAAAACCGGCGAGGGUUCACGCCCUCCGUGGGUUCGAAUCCCACCCCAUC
rnacentral:tRNA from 1 species